rnacentral:rRNA from 1 species
UACGGAGGGUGCGAGCGUUGUCCGGAAUCACUGGGCGUAAAGGGCGCGUAGGUGGCGGGCCAAGUCAACGGUGAAAGCUCGACGCUCAACGUCGAGUCGGCCGUCGAUACUGGUUUGCUGGAGCACUGUAGAGGCCAAUGGAAUUCCGGGUGUAGCGGUGGAAUGCGUAGAGAUCGGGAGGAACACCUGUGGCGAAGGCGGCCGACUGGGCCGACCCUGACGCUGAGGCGCGAAGGCGUGGGGAGCGAACGGG